rnacentral:rRNA from 1 species
ACGAGUGGCGGACGGGUGAGUAAUGUCUGGGAAACUGCCUGAUGGAGGGGGAUAACUACUGGAAACGGUAGCUAAUACCGCAUAACGUCGCAAGACCAAAGAGGGGGACCUUCGGGCCUCUUGCCAUCGGAUGUGCCCAGAUGGGAUUAGCUAGUAGGUGGGGUAACGGCUCACCUAGGCGACGAUCCCUAGCUGGUCUGAGAGGAUGACCAACCACACUGGAACUGAGACACGGUCCAGACUCCUACGGGAGGCAGCAUG